ensembl:lncRNA
UAGGUUUUACAUCUGCAGAAAAAUAAAGGGAUUAAAGCUUGAGUGAGGAAAAUCUAAAGUUCGCCAUAGUUCCCUUGAACAAGAGUAUUUUACCUAGAAUACUUUCAUCAGAAUUACUUCUAGUACGUACUUAAUUUAAAAAUGUUUUUGGCUGUAAUCUAAAAUCAUUUAAUGUCUUGUUCUCAGUUGCAAGCAACAACUUGAUUCUGGCUAACUUAAGAAGAAAAAGAAUCUACCACAGGGUAUCAGAUAGCUUGAAAAACUGAAUGCCAGCCUGGACAACAAAGCUUGGAGUUAUGGCAGAAGCAUGGAAAUGAGGGCAAGCUGUGGGAGACAGCCAGUCAUGUCACACUAAAUGUUCUGGUUAGGACUUUACUAAUGGAAUUUGCACCAUCUCUGCUGGACACUCAGCCCGCUCACCACAUCUGGGAAUGACCUGUUAUGAUACCUUUGCUUUGUCUCUGUGGCACACGUGUGUCUUAUGAGGCAUCUAGGGUAUCUACUGGUCUUCAGUAUGGUGUCCUCCGUGUCAUUAACUGUUGUGAUAUCUGGCAGCUGGGCAAGAUGGUCAGAGACCUUGCAGACUAAAUGUUGGAACAGGGCCGGAGAGUAGAGGUGAUCCCAAGGAAAGACACGGAAGGUGUUCCAGAUGAAGCAGGCAGCUUCUGGUAUUUCUGCUUUUCAGACUCCAGCAUUUGCGCAGCCAGUGGUUGCUUAGUGGGUUCCGUGGGCUAGAUCUGCCUGUUCUGGUGAGCAGAUCAUGACUGAAAUGGCAGGGAGAAGUUCCUUCACCACCUGGUUAAACAUAUGAUGAUCCAUUGCUGUCCUUCAAAAUCCAUUUGUUCACUGCACAAAUUAGGACUCACCAGCCCUGCACCUCUCCAGUCUUUCAGGCUGUCAUUAAUCCUUGCCAUGCCUUCCUGAUGUUGUAUUACUUUGAUUACAGUUGUGAUCACAAGGAAAAGAAGCUCAAAGGGCUUCUACUUGGCUGUUCCUACCAAGAUGACCCCUAUCGCAUGGCUCAGUGGGUUUUCUUAGGAAUUUCUCCAUUAACUCUGCACUCAAGAACUGAGGAAAUAACUGCAGUGUGGGUUUGAGAUGCCGCUAGGCUUCAUAGGAGGUAGAUUGGGUCAAAACUUUAACUUGACCCCCAGAAACCUCUACCCCAACUGCUAGACUGCAGUGUUAUAUGCCCAAAAUUAUUAUUUUGCCCAGAGUUUUGACUCAGAACCAUUGCCUAAAAAUUCCUAAGAGGCCUCAGUAUUUUCCUUCCCCCAAUAUCUAUAUCUUCUAAGUGGCCACAAAGUCCUUUGAAGAAUGCUGGACAGAAAAGUCAUAAACUGUGUGAUGUUACCAAAGAGAUACCUCUAACUUUUGAUAAUGUGGCGCAUUGCUUUCAUGGAGGCAACCUGAAUGUCCAUCAACAGAGGAAUGGAUAAAGACGACGUAGUGUGUGUGUGUAUAUACAGACAUAUAUACAUUAUAUACGUAAUAUAUAUAUAUAUAAACUGGAAUAGUAUUCAGCCAUAAAAAAGAAUGAAAUAAUGGCAUUUGCAGCAACAUGGAUGGACCUAAAAAUUAUCACCUAAGUGAGGUUAGUUAUACAGUGAGAGACAGACAUCAUAUGAUAUCACUUAUAUGUGGAAUCUUAAAAAAGGAUACAAAUGAAUUCAUUUGCAGAACAGAAACAGACUCACAGACUUUGAAAAAUGUAUGGUUACUAAAGGGAUCAGAUGGGGAGAGAGAAGAGUGAAUUGUGGGUUUGGGAUGGAAAAGUUCUAAAAUUACAUUGUGAUGGUAAUUGUACAAGUAUAAAUAUAAAAAAUUCACUGAAUUAUUAAAAAAUAUGCAUAGUAUAGUAAAUAUAGGCAACAAUAUUGUAUUAUAAUCAAACUUUUUAAGAGACUAGAUCUUCAUUAUUCCAGUCAUGAAAAAGAAAUGAUGAUUAUAUGACAUGAGAGAGGUGUUAACUAUGGCAAAAAUGACAAUCGUAUUACAGUAUAUGUGUAUUAAAUAGCAUGUUGUAACCUUAAAUUUACACAAUGUUAUAUCAAAUAUAUUUCAAUAAAAAAGAACACUUGUGAUAUCAAAAAACAGUUGACUUUAAAAAGAUAGUGAAGGAGUUCCCGUCGUGGCUCAGGAGUUAAUGAAUCCAACUAGGAACCAUGAGGUUGCAGGUUCAAUCCAUGGCCUCACUCAGGGGGUUAAGGAUCAGGCAUUGCCGUGAGCUGUGGUGUAGGUUGCAGACUCGGCUCAGAUUCUUUUUUUUUUUUUUUUUUUUUUUUGUCUUUUGUCUUUUUUGUUGUUGUUGUUGUUGUUGCUAUUUCUUGGGCCGCUCUCGCGGCAUAUGGGGGUUCCCGGGCUAGGGGGUGAAUUGGAGCUAUAGCCACCGGCCUACGCCAGAGCCACAGCAACGCGGGAUCCGAGCCGCGUCUGCAACCUACACCACAGCUCACGGCAACGCCGGAUCGUUAACCCACUGAGCAAGGGCAGGGACUGAACCCGCAACCUCAUGGUUCCUAGUCGGAUUCGUUAACCACUGCGCCACGACAGGAACUCCUCGGCUCAGAUUCUUAGUUGCUGUGGCUGUGGUGUAGGCUGGCAGCUGCAGCUCUGAUUCGACCCCUAGCCUGGGAACUGCCAUAUGCCUCAGGUGCAAUCCUGAAGAGCAAAAACAAAAAACAAAAAAAAGAAAGUGAAUGAGAUGACAUUAACUCAGUGUAUUUUAUUUAGUCUGAUAUAUCUAGAAUAACAUGAUUUCAACAUGCCAUAAAUAUAAAUAGUGAUUGAUGAAAUAGUUUACAUUCCUUUUUUCAUGCUCUUUGGAGUCUAGUGUGUAUUUUACAUUUCAUACCUGUUCACACCUGCCACCUUUCAUGUGCCUAAUCUCCACAUGUGGCUAGUGGUUACUGUAGUGGACACAGUAAAGCUAAAUUAUGUUACCAGAUUCUACGGCUUAGCCAUGUAGUCUUUAGUAAACAGCUUUGGACUAGUCUUAGAUUCUCAACUGGAAGGAGAAAUACAGAAAGAGAAAGAAUGAAUUGAAGUUAUGUAAAGUGUAUUAUCAGUACAUGUUUUUUAUAAAGCUCAACCACGACAAACAUAAUAAAAACCACGUGGGAGUUUCUACCGUGGCAGUGGGAUUGGCGGUGUCUCUGCAGUGCCAGGACACAGCUUUAAUCCCCAGUCUGGCACAGGGGGUUAAAGGAUCCAGCAUUGCAGUAGCUGCAGCAUGGGUCACAGCUGCACCAUGUAUCUGAUUCCAGGCCUAGGAACUUCAUAUGCCACAGGAAAACCAAAAAGUUUUUUCUUUUAAACUGAUUAAUUAAAAAAAGGAGUUUGUGGAUCAGAGACCAUGUUGGCUAUUUUAAAAAAUCCAAAUAGCAGUUAAGAAUUGUUAGGAAAGGAGUUCCUGGCAUGGUGCAGUGAAAUGAAUCCGACUAGGAACCAUGAGGUUGCUGGUUCAAUCCCUAGCCUCCUCAGUGGGUUAAAGAUCUGAUGUUGCCAUGGGCUGUGGUGAAGUUUGCAGAUGUGGCUCAGAUCUGGAGUUGCUGUGGCUGUGGUGUAGGUCAGCAGCUGUAGCUCUGAUUCGACCCCUAGCCUGGGAACCUCCAUGUACAGUGGGUGUGGCCCUAAAAAGAAAAAAAAAAAAAAAAA